GACCGCGUAGCUCUGUUGGCAGAGCAUUGGGCUAGUAUUCCAAAGGUCGUAGGUUCGAUUCCCACCGUGGACA